rnacentral:tRNA from 1 species
UCCUGAGUAGCUCAGUUGGUAAAGCAUCUGCCUGCAAUGUGGGAGCCCUGGGUUCAAUUCCUGGGUUGGGAA